rnacentral:lncRNA from 1 species
CCGCCGCUGUCGGCGCUUCCAUCUUGGGCGCUCCGGUUGCGGGGACGGCCCGGGGGCUGUGGGAGGGCGGGUCCGCCCAGCUUGUUUACCGACCGCCGGCCGCCCGUGGCUGGACGCGGUGCCGGUCCCACCGCCGCUCUUCCGCCAGAUUUCCCCACAACUUCUUUUCCUGCCGGAGACGGAUCGGCGAGUGGGGUUUCGCUCCCACUCCGCAAUAGGCCGUAAACACUUGGGUCCAUCGCCACAAGUUGGUUCUGGUGUCUCCAAACUUGUAUUUCAGUCCCUCGGCCGCUUGCUUUCCACCUCCUGCGGUGGCCUCCAGUUGCCAUUUGUAGGAAAAUAAAGGUGGGGGACGACGAGGCGGGUGGGGAGGAGGAGCUGGAGCUAGUGGAAAGAUUCGUCUACCCCUCCUGCUCGCAGUAACGAGUGUUCAGUGCAAGGAUCUGUUUUUUCUCUGCUAUGGUUUGGUGCGGGUCAUUUCACAGACAAAAGAACUGUAGUGAAUGCUGGCAUUAAGCGCAAGGGACAGGCAGUUUAGGUUAAGCCUGGAAGUUUGAACCGGCCCAUUAUCUUUGAGAUACACUGGUGUUUUGAAACUCUCUUGCUGAGGAUAUUGUAUUUCAGUCAGUUGAUUACCCUUUUCUGUAACUCCGUAGACUAUCGAUUUAAGCGCCGCCCCAUCUUACCAGUAUUUUGGUUUCACCGUGUUUAUGAUGAUGUUAAUAAAUCUAAUGUGCAAAAAUACCGUUUUAGGAACACAAUUGGAGAUAAUUUUUUUUUGUAUUUGAGACGGAGUUUCCCCCUUGUUACCCAGGCUGGAGUGCAGUGGCGCUAUCUCGGCUCACCGCAACCUCCGCCUCCCAGGUUCAAGCGAUUCUCCUGCUUCUGCCUCCCGAGUAGUUGGGACUACAGGCAUGCGCCACCACGCCCGGCUAAUUUUGUAUUUUUAGUAGAGAUGGGGUUUCUCCAUGUUGGUCAGGCUGGUCUCGCACCUCUGACCUCAGGUGAUCUGCCCGCCUCGGCCUUCCAAAGUCCUGGAUUAUAGGCAUGUGCCACCGCGCUUGGCCUGAGAGAAAUCUUUAACUCUGGGACCUAUUAUAUAAUGAGUUAUUUCUUUACCUGUGUGUUUUAGUUAACUUCUUUUAUCACUUGUGCAGCAUCCAGCAGUACCCCUGUUUUGGUCAAACAUGGAUGACUCAGUGUACAAACCAUAAGCCAGGGGAAACCAUAAGGAAUUUUGAUCUUGGCUUGUGCCAAGGCUCUUGGGAAAGUCAUCUGAACUAUGGGAGAAAUAAAGCUGGAUCUUGUCUCCUUGUUAUUAUUUUGAAUUAAAUGAGGGAAUUCUAAAAAAAUUUAGAAUCCUAUUGACUUUUGGCUCUAAAGAUAGGCAGUCUCUUUAUACUAAAAUUUCAUAACAUUGUUUUUAUUGGGCUGUUGGGGGUUUACGAGAUAGUAGGACAGUAAUGACAUUUUGCUCUUUUGAGGAGGAUGUUAUCUGAGUGUCAUGAGGGAUUUUAUUUCUGUUGCUGUUUCGAUACCUUUUAUUAAUGCCUCAGAGCAUUGGGACACCCAUUUAUUUACUCUUGAAAUGUGCUUGGGUGUGAUGAACUCAUUCAUGGUAAUAUAUUUUAAGCUCAUGGCCUUGAUCCAUGUCUGUACACUGAUAGGGGUUAUGGAUGUCACAUUUAAAGUCUGAGGAUUAACAUAGUUUUGGAACUCAUGAUCUAGUUGUACAAUAUAUGAGGCAAAUUGCUUCAUAUGUGUAAUUGAUACAGUGAGAGCUUGUCCAUGUGCUUUAUAAUAAAUGUAAACUUUAAAUGUGAAUUACAAAAGUAGUCCACUGGCCGGGCCCGUGGCUCAUGCCUAUAAUCCCAGCACUUUGGGAGGUUGAGGCGGGCGGAUCGCCUGAGGUCAGUAGUUCGAGACCAGCCUGGCCAACAUGGUGAAACCCCGUCUCUACUAAAAAUACAAGAAAAUUUGCCGGGUAUGGUGGCGUGUGCCUGUAAUCCCAGCUACUCGGGAGGCUGAGGCAAGAGAAUCUCUUGAACGCCGGAGGCGGAGGUUGCUGCGAGCCGAGAUCCAGCCACUGCACUCCAGCCUGGGCAACGGAGCAGGACUCCAUUUCAAAACAAAACAAAAGUAGACCACUAUUAAUUUGGUUCAGGUUUUUUUUUUUUUCCUCCUCCUCCUCCUUUUUUUUUUUUUUUUGAGAUGUAGUCUCUCUCUGUCACCCAGGCUGAAUUGCAGUGGCGCGAUUUCCGCUCACUGCAACCUCCGCCUUCCGUGUUCACGCCAUUCUCCUGCCUCAUCCUCCCGAGUAGCUGGGACUACAGGCACCUGCCACCACGCCCGGCUAAUUUUUUGUAUUUUUAGUGGAGACGGAGUUUCACCGUGUUAGCCAGGAUGGUCUCGAUCUCCUGACCUUGUGAUCCACCCGCCUCGGCCUCCCAGACUGCUGGGAUUACAGGCGUGAGCCACCGCGCCCGGCCCCCCCCCCCCCUUUUUUUUUUUUUGAGACCUUGUCUCAUCACUGUGUUGCCCAGGCUGGAGUGCCGUGGCAUGAUCUCGGUUCACUACAACCUCCGCCUCCCGGGUUCAAGCGAUUCUUCUGCCUCAGUCUCUCGAGUAGCUGCUGGGAUUACAGGCGCGUGCCACCACGCCUGGCUAAUUUUUGUAUUUUUAGUAGAGACAGGGUUUCACCAUGUUGGCUAGGCUGGUCUCGAACUCCUGACCUCAGAUGAUCAUCUGCCUGCCUCGGCCUCCCAGAGGCUGGGAUUACAGGCGUGAGCCACCGCACUCGGCCGGAUUUGGUUCAGUUUUAUUAUAUGGGCAUUGCUGCUUGCCUCUUCCUUUCCAAUAAUAAUCUCUUGUGUCUGGGCUUUGAAUACUUAUCCUCUCAUUGAUUUGGUAUUCGAUUUGGAAUAUUUGUGCUCCACUUAUGCCUUAUGCCUUGCACAUUUGAACACUCUUACCUCCUCACAUCACAACAUAAAGACUUAGAGAAAACUCCUUUAUACAGGCAAAAUAAAGUUCAAGCUUCUUGGUGUGGUGUUCAAGUUUCUCUGUAGUCUGGAACUGAUCCAUUCUUCAGUCCUAACUCUAAUUUAUUUGUGAAUCCCUAACUCUAGCCACACUAACUUGCUUGUUGUUCCUAUGAAGUCCCUCCUCUUGGCCUUGCUUUAUGCCAUUCUUUCUGUUUGAAAUCCUCUUCUGCUUGUAUUCAUGGAGACAAUGUUCUGGGCCAAGAGAGGUCCUGUCUCUAGAGAAGCCUUUUUUGACUACUUUAACCCAAGGGAUCUAUUCAGUCUUCUCUUGCGUGAGACUUUCUUUUCUUAGAAUAUGCUAGCCUUGAUUUCAGUUAUCUUUUUAUGUUUCUAUUUUGCUUCCCAACUAGUUUUUUAAGACUUCUGCCAAAUGGGUAUAUCUCUAUACCCUGUAUCUAUCUAUGGAGACCAUAUAUUCAGCACUGAAAAUAUGAAUACAUGGUCUGACAAAGUAUUUUUGGUUAUAGAGGUAUUCUAGGAUAUGCAGUUUGUACUGUAGUAAGUAUUGGUGUUUCUGGGACUUUAUGGUUUAUGAGACAAAUACUUGAAACUAUGGCUGUCUCUUUAAAAAUUUGGUUGGUAUGUUUAUAUGUAUUAUCAGCAUACUUCUUUGCCCUGUAGAGGAUGUUCAGCAUUUUGAUAGUGUUUGUGUCAUAUUAUUAAAAUAAAAAUUAAAUAUUAUGUUUCUCUGGUUUACUUCAGAUUUGUGUCUGGGGCAGUUACUUGGGUCUUGGAUGCUAAGUUUGGUCAUUCCAUAUUGUAUGGAGGUAACAUUUAGCAUCAUGGGAAGGAGAAAAUAAUCUGUAGCCUCAGUUUGUAUUCUUAACCUCAGAUGUUGGCAGCCUGUGUCACUGAUGAUAAGGCAGAUGAGACAGGAGAAUAUGUGAUUCACUACUGCUACCUGUCAACCGUCUUGAAUGAAAAAUAAGCUGGUCCACAGAAUUUUUGUAUACCAAGGAUAACACAUGUAAUUAUGUAGUACAUAGGUGAAUGCUGAUGCAUUUGGAAAAUAGGUGUGUGUGUUUCUCUUGUAUUGGAUGAGUAGGAGGUAUGGUAUUUUAUGGGUACACAGUCUCUUGGCACUAAACCAUCUUGACUUACCUACUACAUCUAUGUGGAAACCUGUCCUCUUUCUCCAGUUCAAUAAAAUAUUUUUCCCCUUGAAAUUCAUUUUUAGAAAGUAUAUAAAAAGUAUUUUUUUUCAAGUGUCAGAAACCUUUUAGCAUCAUUGAAGUUAAAAUGACUGUCCAUAAACUUUUCAGAAAUAGUAGGCAUUUUAGGCUACUAGAUUUGUAAAAGGUAUUUUCAUAGAAUUAUACCAGUGAUUUCACCACCUGAAAAAUCUGGAUCCGUAAGCAUUCUUUGCUUUUUGGAAGGGUGGUAUUUUGGUUAAUUCCAUGAAGUUUUUGACAGGAGCCAUAAGUUUGAAUUUUAAAAUGGGGGUUGGCCAGGUAAAUUGAAUAUAAAAUUAAUAUUUUUUCUGCUGCCUAGUGAAUUAAAUUAAAAAAAAUUUUUUUUGACACAGGGUCUUGCUGUGUCUCCCAGGCCAGAGUGCAGUGCUGAUCAUGACUCAACAAACUGUCCUCCCACUUUAGCCUCCCAAGUAGCUGGAACUAUAGGUGUGUACCAUUGUGCCUGGCUUUUUAAAAAAAUUUUUUGUAGAGACAAGAUCUCUCUAUAUUGCCCCCAGGCUGGUCUUGAAUUCCUGGGCUCAACCAAUCCUCUUGCCUUGGCCU